GCCCCUGGGAGACCUCAUCAUCUCGCCAAACGAUCGGGCCCUUAUGACGUUGAGCCGAGCCAGGAGGCGUCAGAGCCUGGGUGGGGGUGGGGCGCGACCACUCCACGGGCCGCUGGCGGGAUGGGUCUGUGCAAGUCCAAGCUGCCCCACAAGGGCAGGGCCUUGAGAUCCAGGAGAAGGGUAACAUCGCGGGGGGCGGGGAGGGGCUGGAUCACUGGGGGGAAGUAAGGAGGCUAUGAAGGGCAUGAGGGAGGUACGUACAGGUGCCCCACACCCCAAGUCCAGGUGUGCGCACGACCCCCACCCACCCGUGGUGGUAACACAACUGCACAUGCUCAAGGCUCAGCCCUUCUUUGAUCCACUUGAGCACCUGCUGUGCCAGGUUCUGGGCACUCCACGGUGAAUGUGUCAAACUAGCUCCCUGGCCUCCUGGAGAUUACAGCGUAGUGAAGGAGGCGGUCUCAGAAAAUGGGAUCUACGAGCAGGAGGGGACAGGCUGCCACAGGGAAAGAGGCGUCCGCUCUGAGGGCUCCGGGAGGAGGGGAGGUUUAUGCUCCGCCCCGUGGAAUGCCUAGGAAUUCACUAAGCAAAGGCGGAAGGAAGCAAGACACCAAAAUUGCGCUAUAAACUACCACACUCCACAGACAUGCCUGGUAGCCAUGGGCGUGCAUUUACUCAUCGCCCACUACUGUAUGUCAGGAAACGUGCCAACUAUUAGAAAUAUUGGGACCAGCAAGACAGAAACAGUCCUUGCCCUCAUGGAGUAGAGUCUGGCUGGGGAGAGAAGCAGGAGCAAGUAAACAGGCGAAAUCGUUACUAAUCGUGGCUGUUGCUGUGGAAGAAAUGGGGCUCUGAGAUGGAACGAUGGGGUGGGAGUUUCUUAGAGAGAGUCUGACAGGUCGGCUGUGACCUGAAGGUAGAGGAGCAGGGACUUACUGCAGCAGGGAGGAGGCGGGGCACAGGACAGCAGGAGAAGGAUAAGUUUGGCAAGUUCAAGGGACAGAAGAGGCCCCUGGGGCUGGACCAGCGUGAAGGAAGAGGAGGGUGGUGUGGGAUAAGUCUGGGGGAUGGGCAAGUCUCCGCCCCACUCUGAGCCUGUUUCCUCAAGUGUAAAAUGGGAUGCUAGUCACUGAGAUUCUUCAAGGAGAUGCUGUGUGCAGAAGGCCUGGCCUGCUCAAGUUCACAUCCUCCCGGCUACCUGUAACAGAACUAACGAUGCCAUGCCUGAGUGUACCAUUGGGCAUGGAUGUGCACCCCCAGCUGCCACCCUAGGGCAUAGCAAAGUGGGUAUUCCAGGAGACCUGCGUCCAGUGUCACUCACCCAAGGACACACACUAAGCUGUGGACACAGUCACCUCGGCAUGUGUUGGCUCCUGUAGGCAUCAAACCCUCUCUCCACCUCUUCCCUGGGCCCUCCAGACAUCCUCAAGUCCGCUCUGAUCUUCGUGAUGGGUGGCCCAGGUUGUGGCAAAGGGACACAGUGCAAGAACGUGGCGACCAAAUAUGGCUUUUGCCACGUUGGACUGGGCCAGCUGCUGACGCAAGAGGGCCAAUGCAGUACCCAGUGGGGCUGGGAGGCCCGUGACAUCAUGCUGCAGGGGCUCUUGGUGCCCAUGGUGAAAGCUCACAGGCACAGGGGCAGAGGGAAGAAGGUGGUACCUUCCCUGGAAACCCUGUGGAAGCAGAUAGGCCCAGAAGGUUCUGGCUCCCGGCCUGGCCACAGCUUUGUUGCACUGAGCCUCUGUGUCCUCACCUGUAAGAUGGGAGACCAGCUGGCGUCUGUAGGGACAGUUGGCUGACGUCAUUCUCAUAAAGCACUUGGCGGAGUGCCUGACAUUUAACAAACAGUAAAGUUAGCUCGUAUUUAUUCCUUUUGUGACCUUGGGCAUGUAUAUCAACUGGCCCCUCCUGUGCCCGUUCUCUCACCUGGAAAAUGAAGGUCACCCCUAUAUCUACCCGUAAGAAGGUAGUGAUAAAUGAAUGAGACCUCGCGAGCCUGGCACACAGCAGCCACCAGCUCCUGUAGAUGGCCUCAGUGCAUCAGAGUGGCCCUGGGGCACCAGGGCAGACCUAGAACCCCAGGCACUGGCCAGGGCAAGGGCUCUUCUGAAUUCACCAGAAGUCCAGGCCAAGGGAGAAAACUUGACGAAGUGGCCACGUGGUGGGGGGGGGGGGUGCUGGGGCACCAAACCCAACACCCCUUUCCUUCCCAAGGCAUCAUCACAGACCUGAUCAGCAACACCAUGCUGUCGUGCCAGGAGAGCUGCGCCUUCCUCACCGACGGCUUCCCUUGGAAGCUGAAGCAGGCCAAGGAGUUGGAGCGCAUUGUCACAGGAGCAAGAGUGGGCAAUUUUAUUUUGUUCCCAACUUCAGUGCGGAAGCAAGUUUCCAUUAAGAUCCUGGCUGAAGAUAUUUAUCAAUUCCUACCCUCUUAAAGAAUCUGGAAUGCAUGCUGAACUUUGUUAAUUGCCCUUUCUGUGUUUAUGAGGAUGAUCAUAUGACUUUUCCCUCCGAUGUGAAUACAAUAAAUUGUAUUGAACCAUCCUUGCUUUCCUGGAA